GAUGAACGCUGGCGGCGUGCCUAAUACAUGCAAGUCGAGCGAACGGACGAGAAGCUUGCUUCUCUGAUGUUAGCGGCGGACGGGUGAGUAACACGUGGAUAACCUACCUAUAAGACUGGGAUAACUUCGGGAAACCGGAGCUAAUACCGGAUAAUAUUUUCAACCGCAUGGUUCAAAAGUGAAAGACGGUCUUGCUGUCACUUAUAGAUGGAUCCGCGCUGCAUUAGCUAGUUGGUAAGGUAACGGCUUACCAAGGCAACGAUGCAUAGCCGACCUGAGAGGGUGAUCGGCCACACUGGAACUGAGACACGGUCCAGACUCCUACGGGAGGCAGCAGUAGGGAAUCUUCCGCAAUGGGCGAAAGCCUGACGGAGCAACGCCGCGUGAGUGAUGAAGGUCUUCGGAUCGUAAAACUCUGUUAUUAGGGAAGAACAUAUGUGUAAGUAACUGUGCACAUCUUGACGGUACCUAAUCAGAAAGCCACGGCUAACUACGUG
rnacentral:rRNA from 1 species